GUUAUUAUUUUGUUAUUAUUACAAAUAACUACAACAGUAAACAUCUAAAAUCCAUAUACAGCAUUCAAUUUCCCAAAAUAAGCCAAAAUAAAAUUCAACACAUAGAAUAAGAUGAGCAUACACAUGCAAUGAUUCUCGUAGGCAUAGAACUUAACAAUAAAGCCUACUUUUAUUAUCCAAAAAAGGAAAUUUCGAAAUAACUAAAAUGAAAUUACCGGAUGAUUUUCGUAGUCGCAUUCAUAUUCAUCGUCGGAGAAUUGCUCCAACGCGGCGGUAGCAGGGUAUCUACAAAACCCACGCGGCUGUCCCAACCAACGAAAAUUCGAAUCCGGUAAAUAAUAAAACUUACUUAUAUCACUGCCGAUCAAAAUUCGACGGUGGCAAGCCGCGAAUAUAUUCCGGUUUGAAUUGGAAGAGAAUAGAUUAGAGAGAAGUGUAGAGCAAGUAGAAAAAUUAGAAGACCUCCGUUUUG
rnacentral:lncRNA from 1 species